AUGGCUUUAAUCAUCCUGAUAACAGAGCUGUGCUUUGUGCAGAGUAAGUCCUGUUUCCCUUUUUUCCCCCCUCCAUCAACGUGUUCCAUAUCAGCUUUCUCUCUGAGCUCAAGCCACAGAGGAUGUGGACAGUCAUGUUAUAUCCCAUUUGCUCUUCUGCUGUUUAAACAGGAAAGAUUAGGGUAAUGUCAUGUUACCCUUUAAAAAUACAUUGCUCUAACAAGUGUGCUUUAAAGACAUUUACCUUUUCAAAAAGAGGUUACAGGAGCAUCAAAUCAAUGCAAAGAGCAGUUAGAAUUGUACAUAGCCUACAGUUUUUGUCUUUAAAUCAAAGAAUGCCUUCAUACUGUAUUUUACCUUGCAUUUUCACACAGCUGGAUGCUUCGGAACAGAUCAUCUCCCAUUGUCUCAGAUGUGGAUUUGGCAAGGAGCUUCUGUGCUGAUCUGAAUUCUGGGAAGUCUGAACUCUGCAUGGUUUACUUCUGUCAGGAGGAAGAAGUUCACAGAUAACCUUAAUUGUGAUAAACAAUUUUCCAUAGCUAUAGAAAGUCAGUUGGACACACACCGAAUACUUUUUGCUUACUUAAGAGCAAUGACUCACAAAAGUCACUCACAAAAAUGAUGUGAAUUUCAUAACCUUUCAUUUCACUGGAAUCUUGUCACCAGCCCACAUUUAUGCAAAACCUAAAAUGCUUUCUGAGCCCAGUUAUGCCUUACAGUGGAAAAGCACAUCUGCCCUGGGCUUUAAACCCCUUUGUGGUGAUUAUCUCAUGCCCCACAGUGGGUGAGGGGCUGGGGACCCCAGGGUGUCUGCAGGGAGCUGAGCCUCUGCUUUGGCUCAGGUCCUGCUGCUCAGCAUGUGCUGAGUUCUAGGGAGGCUGAAAGUAAGAAUUCUUGCACAAAAAGCUCUCAUUCUAGGUGGUGGAUAAACUACAACUUCAUCCGUGUGCUUCCUUCAUAAGGAAUGCUCCUGUGGCACCAUUUUCUCUCGUUGCUUACUUGCAGUUUUCAUUAUCCCAGCUGCAAGGUUUUGGAAGACACACAGACACAUCAGCCUAAAUUCAUCCUGGCCACAAAUUCAGUGGAGUGGCAGGAGCAGAGUGAGGGAUGUACACACGUGCCAGUCUGCAGCCAUAGCACGUUGUGAAACUCUUGGGAGUGAGCAGAACUGUCUGGACUGAGGAUCUCUGGUGGUUUUCUGCAAUCUCAUCCUGUUUAAACUGAAGGCAGACAGUGAUGGAAUUCUUGUUUCAGAUUUGGUAAUACCAGCACUCGAGGAUCCGUGGUUCAGCUCAGAGCACGAAGCAGCAUCUCCUGGGGACAAGUUAAUUCAGCAACAGCUCUGAGGCACUACUGGCCCUGGAAGGAAACAAUGCAUCAGCUCCCUGGAAAGAAACCUUAAUGCCUGCUAUGAGCCUAGAUUUACAUGGUAAAAGAGACUACUAGCUACUGCCAUAAAGUAUAUGUAGGAAAAUGUUAUGGAUCCACAGGAAGAUGGUAGGGGUUAUAAGAAGAAUUUAUUAUUGUGGCAGUCUGGUUCUUUUCUUUUUCACUGAAUUGUGAAACGGAGUUUCAUGUUGAGAUGGAGUCAGUUAGUUGAGCUUGUUCUUAACUAUUUGUUACUGACUUUAGUAAUACAGAUUAUUAAAUAUGGCUGCAAGGUUUUGUUGAUCUUUUAAUUUUCAACAUACAGAACUGAAAGUUCAUACUGAAAAGUUGACUCUCAGUGUUUGUAAACACACACACAAACACAAAGAUAAUUUAUUUACACUUAACUGUGUCCUCAGAGAGUAUCUGCAUUCUGUGUGUGUGUUUUCUUUUUGUGCUGGGCUCUGCAAGGCCACCUAAAACAAAGUAAAAGAGAUACCUUUAUUUAAGAAACAGAGAUUUAACUCUUCAUAACUGAUGACUCCAUGGUUUUGGAAUGCUCAAGAUAAAUGGUGCUUUAUUAUUAUUAUGUUUGGUGCUUUUAGGAAAGUAAACAAGGGCAAGGACCCAAGGCUUAGGCUUUGCCUGGAGCAGACCAUGACUUGAUCUCUGUGAGCUGGAGCAGUUUGCAGCUGUGCUGUGGGGAGGAGGAAUGUCUGUGCCAUGUAACCAGCCUGCAGGAACCCUCUCAGGAUGCUGAGAGUGAGCCUGAGGCAGUGACACUGUCAUCAUCUGAAACCUCCCAGCAGGUCACAGCACAGGAAUGGGCCGUGUCCAGGUUCAUAUAAAUAACAAUGAAUAAACAAAGGUGUGCAUUUUGACCCAUGCUCUGCACAAAUCUGAUGUUUCCUAGUUUUACUCAUGGAAUGCAUUAUUUUGGAGAAAUUUUGUUCAAUACCAACAGAACUUUCUCAACUCAAAAGUUCUGGAUUAAAGAAAGCAUUUGGGAACACAAAAUGAAUCAUGUCAGUGGCACUAUGAAUGUAUGUUUUUUUCAUUCAUAAUUUAAGGCUCUUCACACAUUUUCUUUGGAAAGCUCAUGUUUCUAUUUUGAGGAUUCAAUCUGUAUUUUAAUGAAUCAGAAAGUGUGAAAGCAGUAUGAAAAUAGGUUGUUAAGUUUUGGGGGGAACUUUAAUUCAGAACAGUCUAGCAAUAGAAAAUUGCUUUCAAGAGGCUACAUCUUUGCAAAAUUUGAAGGGGAAAAAAGACUGGAUUAUAAUCUACAUAAACACUGAUGUUCUAAGACUGCAGAGUGCCUACCUGUGUCCUCAGAAAAGUGACAUGAAGUUUUAGUAUUUUCUGCAUCUAUUUCACAAUGAACAUAAAAAUAUACACUUACAGAUAAGAAUGAACACUUUCAUAUAAGUAGUAUAAAUUUCUUAGUAAAAAUGAGGAAAACAAAAGUAAUCUGAGUGACCAAAAGCCUGCUAAAGGAAGUUAGAAUGAAAGCCUGAGCUUGAUUUUUUACUGCCCAGGCAGUGGCCCUGAGGCUGCCCUUGGGAGGCCUGACGUGCAUCCAGGAAAUGCAGCACUGCAAACGACUUUGAUUUAGGAAUUUGGGGUGAUUUUUUACCCUCUGAACUUGGAUUACUGGAGGGAUCUCUUCUUUGUUUUACUUUUUCCAUCACAGGUGUGCUAAAGGAGGAUUUCCCAAAUGGUUUUGCCCAAAAUAUGAUGAGACUGAGAGAUGAACAUGGGCAUUCACUUGGUCCAGAAAUUACACAGACUAAAGUGCAUCUGUAAGAGUAAAACCAAUGUUCAAACAGGCUAAGCAAGAAUCUGAGGUGUGGUUCAUCCAAGGGAGCCACAUAGAAGAAAACACAAAUGCAAUUCAUAGAUGAAACUACGAUGAGAAGUGGUGGCAGCAUUGCAGCAUUAAUGUUUUAAUUUUUAAUGCAAAUGAAAUUACAGAUUUUCCUUCCCUUCUGGUUUUUGCAAUAGCAUUCUUUCAUAUAGAAUACAGUGUUAAAUACAAGGUUUGAUCAUUUGCUUGUUCAGUGACAUCUGAACAAUACUGGAUUUAUGAGAAGUCUGUGGUUUUAAAUGAGGUCUGCCAAGUGUUACAUUAAACAAUCAGCUAUGCCCAAGUCAAAGCCUGGGUUAUAGGGAGAUAGAACUCAAUGACCAUUACUGCCAACAAAUCAUCUGACCUGUUUCUGCCAUCAGUAUGCAGCUGAGAUAUCUGGUGGCAGAUUUUAAGUCACAAUGUCAACUUAAAACAAAAAAUAUGCCUAAAUGUCCUGUGACUGACAAUCAGGAAAGACCACAGCAUCACCAGCAAUUUUUCAAAGGUAGACAGAGCCUGUUUCAUGCUAACCAUUUAAUAGGGGUUCAUAGCUCUGAGGUAUAACAGCACUUUGCCUGUUACCAAACUCUAAACAAAACAGGAGAAGUGUCCCUUUUAAAAAAUCUUUGCUUAACCUAAAAGUUCUACCAAUAACUAUCCUCUUAUGGUGGAAAAAGAAUUAUUAAUAUGUCUUGCUGGAAAUCCUGGUGUGCUUUUUAAAUGUUUGCUUUGAAUUGCCAAUAUGCUUUUCUUUGGAGUCCUGCUUUUCUAGGUAGCAAAAUGCAAUAUUAGUUCAAUCAGCUCAAAUGCAGAGCAGACCUGUGAUGCUGGGUUUCCCAGCACAGUUAAUAUCAAGGAGCACUCUUGUGGUUUUAAAUCUGAAUUAAAUUUGCAGAAAUGAGGGGAAGACUGAGGCCUGAUUUAUGGGUACCUGUUAUGCCUUGAGGAGGUAGCUCUUUGUUUUCCUCAGGACUGUGAGACUUCAGACCAACCUGUGUGUUGGUUUAGACCAACUCAAAACAGAUGAAUUCCACUGGACAACUCAGGGCAGCUUGGCAAAAUAAUGCCAGUGAGAUCUUGGCUCCCUCUGGAAGAUAGCAGGAAUUUUGCCAUUAACAUCAUCUGGGACAGAUUUUUUCCUUUUGCUUCUCAUCCCUGCUGGAGUCUGCUUAAUCCCCUUUUGGGCCAGUGAGAUGGAGCAGCAUUGAAGAAGGUGUGGUGAUGUAAAGCAUCAGGAAUAAGUUAUAAAAAGUUGUGUCCAAAAGGCUGGAUAAAUAAUACUUUAUCCUAUGUCCAACUGCAGAAGGAAGAAGCACUGAUACAUGUAGCUCUUCUUUCCAGCACAGACAGAAAUACUUCCUACAAAUACAAAUACUUCCUAGAUUCUUAUAAUCUCCAAGCAAAGUUUCUCAAAAAUCCCUUUCUGUAAUGGAAAGACUUAAAACUAGAGUAGAGUUGUAGAGUUUUUUUCUUUAAAAAAAAAAAGGAAAAAAGGUGUGGGGGGGAGGAACACAACUGCUUAACAUAAGAAAUCACCUGUUUAUCAUAUAAAUCAAAUGAAAAAUCUUCUAUUUGCUAAUUUGCAUGAGCCAAGAUUUACACAUGGCAGAAUAAAGUGAAUUCAGAAUACAGAAAA